AGAUACCCUAUUAUUUUUAUUGUAAAAUUUGAAACUUGAGUAUUAGUAGUUAAGGUCUUGAAACUUAAAGAAUUUGGCGGUAUUAUAGUCUAUUUAGAGGAAUCUGUUAUGUAAUCGAUAGUCCACGUUGAACCUUACUUAUAUUAUUUCUUGUAUACCGCUGUUUGAGAAUAUACUUUUAGGUUAUUUUCUUAAUAUAUUAUUAAUUAAAAUUUCAGGUCAAGGUGCAGUAAUAUAUAAGUUGAAUAAUGGAUUACAAUAAAUUUUAUUUAUAUGGAUUGUUAUUGAAAUAUAAUUUGAAGGUGGAUUUAAUUGUAAUUUUUUAAAGAUUAUUAAAAUGAUUAAUAGCUCUAUAAUAUGUACACAUCGCCCGUCGCUCUCGUUAUUAAGAUGAGAUAAGU
rnacentral:rRNA from 1 species